AGAGUUUGAUCAUGGCUCAGGAUGAACGCUGGCGGCGUGCCUAAUACAUGCAAGUCGAACGAGGGCACUCCCGUAGCAAUACGAGGGUGUUCCUAGUGGCGAACGGGUGCGUAACACGUGGGUGACCUGCCCCGAAGUGAGGGACAACGCCGCGAAAGCGGCGCUAAUACCUCCUGUGAUCCAGGGAAACUAGACGGCCUUGGAUGAAAGGCGUAAGCCGCUUCGGGAGGGGCCUGCGGCCCAUCAGCUAGUUGGUAGGGUAAUGGCCUACCAAGGCGAUGACGGGUAGGGGACCUGAGAGGGUGGCCCCCCACACUGGCACUGAAACACGGGCCAGACACCUACGGGUGGCAGCAGUAGGGAAUAUUGCACAAUGGGCGAAAGCCUGAUGCAGCAACGCCGCGUGCGCGAUGAAGGCCUUCGGGUCGUAAAGCGCUUUUCGGGGGGAUGAGGAAGGACAGUACCCCCGGAAUAAGUCUCGGCUAACUACGUGCCAGCAGCCGCGGUAAAACGUAGGAGGCAAGCGUUAUCCGGAUUUACUGGGCGUAAAGCGCAUGUAGGCGGUCUGGCAAGUCGGACGUGAAAGCUCCUGGCUCAACUGGGAGAGGCCGUUCGAAACUACCAGACUCGAGGGCAGUAGAGGGAGGUGGAAUUCCGGGUGUAGCGGUGAAAUGCGUAGAUAUCCGGAGGAACACCAGUGGCGAAGGCGGCCUCCUGGACUGUCCCUGACGCUCAGAUGCGAAAGCUAGGGGAGCGAACGGGAUUAGAAACCCCGGUAGUCCUAGCUGUAAACGAUGCGGACUUGGUGUUGGUGGCUUUAACUCCAUCAGUGCCGUAGCUAACGCGUUAAGUCCGCCGCCUGGGGACUACGGCCGCAAGGCUAAAACUCAAAUGAAUUGACGG
rnacentral:rRNA from 1 species